GGCCAUUUUCUAUGCAGGCCUUACAGCUGUCACUAGCUGUGGCCAUCCUACUCGCAUUCCAGAUACCUACCUGUACUAUAAGGAUACACUACAAUUUUACUUUACCCAUGGUCGCUGUGCUGUCUGGGAGGGAUGCUUUAUGCGCUCUGCUGUUUGCCUGCUGGUCUGCCACCUCUGUCCCGGGACAGGCAUAUGUUUGGUCUUAACUGUAUUUACAUUACCACUUUGACAUACUAUAUAUCCCACUACAUCCGCCCCUGAUGAGUGUUUUU